GGGCGUAUAGUUCAGUCUGGUUAGAGCUCUUUCCUCAUAAGAAAGAUGUCCUAGGUUCAAAUCCUGGUGCGCCCA
rnacentral:tRNA from 1 species